UUAAAUUCCUCCAGUAAAGCAAAAAUACCAUAAACAUAUUGAGUUUGCUUGUCUGCAUUUCCUUUGUCCAGAAUUUUCUGGAACAAUCUUAGAUAGUUUGAAGUUUAAUUUUCAGUUUCUGUGACCUGUUUAGGUUGGACUAAUUAUACUCCAGAAUUUAUAUCUCAGGAUUUUUAACAUCAUCUUCAGGAUGAACACAAAAUCUUUUUAUUUCUAAUAUUUUUUAUAUUUGUUUCCUUUUGAUUGAUUCAUGUGCCGUGUAAUGUUCUUGUAGGUUGACAAGUUGUGGCAUUUCGAGCAUGCCUCAUAGGAGAGCAAAAUGAAGUCCACUGUACUGUUGGGAACAGUAGCAGA
rnacentral:lncRNA from 1 species